UCGUUUAAUGCAUCUACUGUGCAGCUGUAUCAUUUCUUUCAUCAGUUCAGGCAGAAGAUAGGUUUGCACAGACAAUUAUUUCCUUUGCUGCCAGCACAUAAAUUCAUCACAUCUGAAGCUAACUUGUAAUGAAGCACAGGAAGCACAGUCUAUCCUUCAGUUUAAUGCAUUCUAUCCUCCGUAACAAACAAAAGAUACCAUGUGUUGGGCUGCAUAUCAAUCGAAGGUACCAUAAGUUCAGUUGUUUCAACCAGCAGAAAUUGAAAAUCAAGCAUCAUGCGUGAUCUCCAUUUACUCUGGCAUUAUGUAUUUGGUUGAACACAAAUGAAGUUAACUUCUGAUUUAAUCUGACUGUCAGGGCAGCCUCUGAUGGGAGUGUUUCUCCAUACAUACCGGGUGGACCGUGGCUGGUGAGGUCCAGGUUUGUAGCUCC
rnacentral:lncRNA from 1 species